rnacentral:rRNA from 1 species
GACGAACGCUGGCGGCGUGCCUAAUACAUGCAAGUAGAACGCACAGUUUAUACCGUAGCUUGCUACACCAUAAACUGUGAGUUGCGAACGGGUGAGUAACGCGUAGGUAACCUGCCUGGUAGCGGGGGAUAACUAUUGCAAACGAUAGCUAAUACCGCAUCAUAUUGAUUAUUGCUUGAUAAUUGAUUGAAAGAUGCUAUUGCAUCACUACCAGAUGGACCUGCGUUGUAUUAGCUAGUAGGUGAGGUAACGGCCCAACUCGGCUACGAUACAUAGCCGAGCUGGAGGGGUGGUCGGCCGCGCUGGGGCCGGGACACGGGCCAGGAACCGGCGGGAGGAAGCAGGAGGGAGUGCUCGGCAAUGGACGGAAGUCUGACCGAGAGACGCCGCGUGAGUGAAGAAGGUUUUCGGGUCGUAAAGCUAUGUUGUUAGAGGAGAACGGGUGUGAGGGUGGAAAGUGCACGCUGUGACGGUAUCUUACCAGAAAGGGACGGCUAACUACGUG